CGGCGGCAACAUGGCGGACGUGAUAAAUGUCAGUGUGAACCUGGAGGCCUUUUCCCAGGCCAUUAGUGCCAUCCAGGCGCUGCGCUCCAGCGUGAGCAGGUUGUUCGACUGCCUGAAGGAUGGGAUGCGGAACAAGGAGACGCUGGAGGGCCGGGAGAAGGCCUUCAUUGCGCACUUCCAGGACAACUUACAUUCGGUCAACCGGGACCUCAAUGAGCUGGAACGUCUGAGCAAUCUGGUAGGCAAGCCAUCUGAGAACCAUCCUCUUCAUAACAGUGGGCUGUUAAGCCUGGAUCCUGUGCAGGACAAAACUCCUCUCUAUAGUCAACUCCUUCAAGCAUAUAAGUGGUCAAACAAGUUGCAGUACCAUGCAGGACUAGCAUCUGGCCUUUUAAAUCAGUAGUCGUUGAAGCGUUCCGCUAAUCAGAUGGGAGUAUCUGCCAAAAGUAGACCAAAGGCUCAGCCCACAACUCUUGUCCUACCACCUCAAUAUGUUGAUGAUGUGAUCAGCCGCAUUGACAGGAUGUUUCCUGAAAUGUCCAUCCACUUAUCCAGACCCAAUGGAACAUCAGCAAUGCUUCUGGUGACCUUGGGAAAGGUGUUGAAAGUGAUCGUCAUCAUGCGGAGCCUGUUCAUUGAUCGAACAAUAGUAAAGGGAUAUAACGAGAAUGUCUACACAGAAGAUGGCAAGCUUGAUAUAUGGUCCAAAUCCAACUAUCAAGUAUUCCAGAAGGUGACAGACCACGCCACCACGGCCCUGCUCCACUAUCAGCUGCCCCAGAUGCCGGAUGUCGUAGUCCGAUCCUUCAUGACCUGGUUAAGAAGUUACAUAAAGCUGUUCCAGGCCCCAUGCCAGCACUGCGGGAAGUUUCUGCAGGACGGCCUUCCCCCGACAUGGAGGGAUUUCCGAACCCUCGAAGCCUUCCAUGACACCUGCCGGCAGUAAGCCCCCACGCUGGCCCCAGCGUGAGACCCCACCCGGCAACUUCCCAGACACUCAGGAAGCCCACAGAAGGCUCAGCUGGUUCCUCACUGCCCAGAUGUGUACAGCCGCUCCUCCCUUUCAGCGCCAUGUGUGCUGAGGCCACUCUUGAGGAGCAGACCCCCCCUGUGGCUGAUGAGACUAAUUAUUCCCACUAGCCAGUGGACUGAAGGCAAAGAAGACUUUUCUAGAACCUGAUAGAAGGAAGCUGUGCAGCAUGCUCCUCGUCCGUGUGUGUCGGCAGUGCUGGUGUCUUGUCGUUUCCGCGAGCUAUUACUAGAAUGAGCCCUUGUGUUCAUGGGUAUCGUCAUGCGGGGUUCUUGUGUUUUGUGGGGCUUGGGGUUUGGUAACUUAUUUUUAUAAGCAAUAAACCUUUUGUA